rnacentral:rRNA from 1 species
UACGAAGGGGGCUAGCGUUGCUCGGAAUCACUGGGCGUAAAGCGCACGUAGGCGGCUUUUUAAGUCAGGGGUGAAAUCCUGGAGCUCAACUCCAGAACUGCCUUUGAUACUGAGAAGCUUGAGUCCGGGAGAGGUGAGUGGAACUGCGAGUGUAGAGGUGAAAUUCGUAGAUAUUCGCAAGAACACCAGUGGCGAAGGCGGCUCACUGGCCCGGUACUGACGCUGAGGUGCGGAAAGCGUGGGGAGCAAACAGG